rnacentral:lncRNA from 1 species
UGGUGUUCGGGCUCGGCGGGGAGACGCCGCUGUGGCGGGCGCUCAACCACGGCGGCCGCACCGUGUUCCUCGACGAGAACCAGUACUACGUGUCCCACCUGGAGGGGCGGCACCCGGGCCUCGAGGCCUACGACGUCGUCUACACCACCACCGUCCGCGAGUUCCCCGACCUCCUCGACGCCGCCCGCGCCGCCCGCUCCGCCGAGUGCCGCCCCGUCCAGAACCUCCUCUACUCCGACUGCCGCCUCGCUAUCAACGACCUCCCCAACCAGCUCUACGACG